rnacentral:piRNA from 1 species
UUCCAUUUUUGCUUGCUUCAA